UGGCAACCUGGGGCGGAAGUGACGUGACGCACCUGGGCCGAGGGGCGGGGCCAAUGGGGCGGCUGCAGAACGGGGCCUCGGCUCAGGGAAAGCGCGUUAGGGCCGAAGAGGACGCCGCCGGGAACUGAUGGACCCGCGUCUGCGGGCGGCUCCGGCUCCUCCCGCGUGAGCCUGACCGCUCUCUGGCCGCACCCUCUGCAGACCUGCCCGGGAGCCCCGAGGAGGCUUGCGGGAAACGGCUGGGUCACCGCCGCAUUCGUACGCGGUUAACACCCCACGCAGGAAGGGCGGAAAGGAAACAAGAGCUGGCGGGUCGUCAGUGGCCCUUUUCCGGAUCGGUGGAUCGAAAACUAAAGCGCCUCGACCUGAAAAUAGAAACCGGGAGCCCAGGCAGCGGGUCACCGUGGGACCAGCCGCCUCCGGGCUUCAGUUGUCCUGGGGCGCUCUGGGCUUCAGGACUACCUGGGCCCUCAGUAUUCAGCAUCAGUCAGGCACAAUUAGGGACAAUACCUGAGAGCUGUGGUUGAGCCUCUGCUACUGCAUCCCGUGCAGGCCUGCUAGAGUUCAAAACCAUGAAGACUCGGCCUCUGCACUCGCAACCCCUAUCGUGAAUUACUCUCCCCCCACUACCUUGAGAGCACGCCUGGGAAGGUCAAUUAUUAAAGGACACGGGGCCCUUAGACGCUGGGCCUCAGUUCUGUGGGGCCCUUGCCCUUAAGCAACUCAAUGUUUUAUUGAAGAUGUGAAUCCUUAAAACAAAAUGGCUGGUGGGGAUAGAGGCUGUAACAGACAGGAUUAUGUAUGAGAGGAUGUGCUUUGGAAAUAUUCUCUGUAAGAUCCAGACCUCACUGAUUCUCUCUGCUCUCCAGUCUUCCUCUCCUCACCAUCCCACAGUCCUCACUCCAGCAGGGUCAUCAGAAUAACCACCAAUUGGGACAUAAAGUGGCUCAUCUAGAACCCAUCUGUUACUCACUCGGCAGGUAAUUCUCUGUCUGACAUUCACAACAAAGCCACGUUCAGAAAUAUAAAUGACUGUCACUAUAUAAAUAUGGAGGUUCUCGCCUAGAUAUUCUGAUCCAUCAGGAGCGUGGGGAAAUGUGC